rnacentral:rRNA from 1 species
CCUACGGUGAGCAGCAGUGAGGAAUAUUGGUCAAUGGACGGAAGUCUGAACCAGCCAUGCCGCGUUCAGGAGGACGGCUCUAUUAGUUGUAAACUGCUUUUGUACAAGGGUAAACCUGAAUACGUGUAUUCAGCUGAAAGUACUGUACGAAUAAGGAUCGGCUAACUCCGUGCCAGCAGCCGCGGUAAUACGGAGGAUCCAAGCGUUAUCCGGAUUGAUUGGGUUUAAAGGGUGCGUAGGCGGAUUGAUAAGUUAGAUGUGAAAUGUCCGAGCUUAACUCGGAAAAUGCCUCUAAUACUGUGGGUCUAGAGAGUAGAUGAGGUAGGCGGAAUGUAUGGUGUAGCGGUGAAAUGCUUAGAGAUCAUACAGAACACCGAUUGCGAAGGCAGCUUACCAAUCUAUAUCUGACGUUGAGGCACGAAAGCGUGGGGAGCAAACAGGAUUAGAUACCCGUGUAGUC